rnacentral:rRNA from 1 species
UACGAACUGUGCAAACGUUAUUCGGAUUCACUGGGCUUAAAGGGUGCGUAGGCGGCCAUGUAAGUAGGGUGUGAAAUCCCCCGGCUUAACCGGGGAACUGCGCCCUAAACUGUAUGGCUGGAGUGAGAUAGGGGUGUGUGGAACUUCCGGUGGAGCGGUGAAAUGUGUUGAUAUCGGAAGGAACGCCGGUGGCGAAAGCGACACACUGGGUCUCAACUGACGCUAGGCACGAAAGCCAGGGGAGCGAACGGG